rnacentral:rRNA from 1 species
UACGGAGGGUGCAAGCGUUCUCCGGAUUCCCUGGGUUUAAAGGGUGCGUAGGAGGGCAGGUAAGUCAGUGGUGAAAUCUCCAAGCUUAACUUGGAAACUGCCGUUGAUACUAUCUGUCUUGAAUAUUGUGGAGGUGAGCGGAAUAUGUCAUGUAGCGGUGAAAUGCUUAGAUAUGACAUAGAACACCAAUUGCGAAGGCAGCUCACUACUCAAUCAUUGACUCUGAGGCACGAAAGCGUGGGGAUCAAACAGG